rnacentral:misc_RNA from 1 species
UACGAAGGGUGCAAGCGUUACUCGGAAUUACUGGGCGUAAAGCGUGCGUAGGUGGACUGUUAAGUCCGAUGUGAAAGCCCUGGGCUCAACCUGGGAACUGCAUUGGAUACUGGCAGGCUGGAGUGCGGUAGAGGGGUGCGGAAUUCCCGGUGUAGCAGUGAAAUGCGUAGAUAUCGGGAGGAACAUCCGUGGGGAAGGCGGCACCCUGGACCAGCACUGACACUGAGGCACGAAAGCGUGGGGAGCAAACAGG